rnacentral:rRNA from 1 species
CAGCAGCCGCGGUAAAACGAAGGGUGCAAGCGUUACUCGGAAUUACUGGGCGUAAAGCGUGCGUAGGUGGUGGUUUAAGUCCGUUGUGAAAGCCCUGGGCUCAACCUGGGAAUUGCAGUGGAUACUGGAUCACUAGAGUGUGGUAGAGGAUAGUGGAAUUUUCGGUGUAGCAGUGAAAUGCGUAGAGAUCGGAAGGAACAUCUGUGGCGAAGGCGACUAUCUGGGCCAACACUGACACUGAGGCACGAAAGCGUGGGGAGCAAACAGGAUUAGAUACCCCAGUAGUCCCUGUCUCUUAUAC